GCUGGGAACUGGGAGCUGGGACCGGGAGCUGAGCCACUUUGGAGCCUUGGCAUCGGGGAUCUAUAUUUGCUUACAGAAUGAAAAACGCGCUCCAUAAACACCCGACACGGAGUCAUUUCCAGCGCCAGCCUUGUCGUGGCCAGUGAGGGCUAUGACGCAGACAGAACCCGGCUCGUCCGACCGGUCGAUCCCCACCUCCGGCGCCGCCGCCAUAAAUAACGCCGUCGCUCCCCCCCCCCUGCUAACGGCACGCGGCCGGCGGCCUGACCUCCUCCUCCCGCUGCCCUCGCCGCCCCAGCGCCGCCCACGCCGCCGUAAUGGGAGGCCAUCCGUCACCUCCCGCUGCCUGUCACCCAGCCCACACCUGGGCAGCACCUCGGGCUGCGCCUCCUGCACCUCCCGCCCGCGUUCGGAGGCCCCAGCUGAUGGCGUUUGAUGAAUGGCGCGGCAGCUCACCGGCAGCGCCCGCGCGCGCCGAAGCUGGAGCAGCUGCGGAAGGUCACUCAUUGGGGAAAUAUGUUUCUGCCAGUGGUAUCGAAAAAAGUUUAGCGGAGUGACAGCCCUCAAUUUUUCAAAUUUUAUUAACUCCGUCCUCUUAA